rnacentral:rRNA from 1 species
UACAGAGGGUGCAAGCGUUGUUCGGAAUUAUUGGGCGUAAAGCGCGUGUAGGCGGCAGUGCAAGUCGGGUGUGAAAGCCCUCAGCUCAACUGAGGAAGUGCGCCCGAAACUGCAUUGCUUGAGUACCGGAGAGGAUGGCGGAAUUCCCGAAGUAGAGGUGAAAUUCGUAGAUAUCGGGAGGAACACCGGUGGCGAAGGCGGCCAUCUGGACGGAUACUGACGCUGAGGCACGAAAGCGUGGGGAGCAAACAGG